GAUGAACGCUGGCGGCGUGCUUAACACAUGCAAGUCGAACGGAAAGGCCAGUGCUUGCACUGGUACUCGAGUGGCGAACGGGUGAGUAACACGUGGGUGAUCUGCCCUGCACUUCGGGAUAAGCCUGGGAAACUGGGUCUAAUACCGGAUAGGACAAUGGUUUGGAUGCCGUUGUGGAAAGUUUUUUCGGUGUGGGAUGAGCUCGCGGCCUAUCAGCUUGUUGGUGGGGUAAUGGCCUACCAAGGCGUCGACGGGUAGCCGGCCUGAGAGGGUGUACGGCCACAUUGGGACUGAGAUACGGCCCAGACUCCUACGGGAGGCAGCAGUGGGGAAUAGUGCACAAUGGGCGCAAGCCUGAUGCAGCGACGCCGCGUGGGGGAUGACGGCCUUCGGGUUGUAAACUCCUUUCGCUAGGGACGAAGCGUAUUUGUGACGGUACCUGGAGAAGAAGCACCGGCUAGCUACGUG
rnacentral:rRNA from 1 species